rnacentral:tRNA from 1 species
ACUUUGGUAACUUAAUUAGAGUAUCACGUUGAAGUUGUGAAAGUGGGUUUCCCCAAGGUA